UACGUAGGGGGCUAGCGUUGUCCGGAUUUAUUGGGCGUAAAGAGCGUGUAGGCGGCCAGAUAGGUCUGCUGUGAAAACUCGAGGCUCAACCUCGAGAUGUCGGCGGAAACCAUUUGGCUAGAGUCCGGAAGAGGGAAGUGGAAUUCCUGGUGUAGCGGUGAAAUGCGCAGAUAUCAGGAAGAACACCCGUGGCGAAGGCGGCUUUCUGGGACGGUACUGACGCUGAGACGCGAAAGCGUGGGGAGCGAACAGG
rnacentral:rRNA from 1 species